rnacentral:rRNA from 1 species
UACGUAGGGUCCGAGCGUUGUCCGGAAUUACUGGGCGUAAAGAGCUCGUAGGUGGUUUGUCGCGUUGUUCGUGAAAACUCACAGCUCAACUGUGGGCGUGCGGGCGAUACGGGCAGACUUGAGUACUGCAGGGGAGACUGGAAUUCCUGGUGUAGCGGUGAAAUGCGCAGAUAUCAGGAGGAACACCGGUGGCGAAGGCGGGUCUCUGGGCAGUAACUGACGCUGAGGAGCGAAAGCGUGGGGAGCGAACAGG